AAUGGAAUGCCUGAAUAAAGGAUUAUCGUGAUAGGAUAAAUAAUGUAAAAAUUACUUCCAUUA
rnacentral:tRNA from 1 species